GUCAGACAGAGAGAGUAGCGGUGGAGCAGUCAGUCCUGAGAGGAGGAAGCAGAGAGAAACGAGGAUCUUAACCUGAAAUCUGUACCUCUGCAGCCAGGACCCUGGGGUUUCCAUCUUCUAGUCUGGACUGUGGCUGCUGUUGGGGUCUCAAGUUUUACUCUUGUCUGCCACAGGUACUUUAGUACCUCAAACCAGCCGCAGAAGCAGAAGUGGAGACAGGGAAGAGCUAGACACCGUUCCUUCUGGCCUGAGCAGGACUUCAGACAUGUCUCUACUCUCAGACCCUCUGGAGAAGCUGCACAGCCAGACAGACUCUUUCCUCACUGCAGCCAGGCUUCUUCGAAGAGGAUGGACGGAGGAGGGGAAUAAGACAGGGUUGCAAUUUUCCUAUUUCAACGGCUCAGCGCCCUCUCUCUCCAGGUCAGACGGAAAUCAGGGUCCAAACCCUGCUGAGAUUUGCCCGAAGGACCACAAGAGCAGACGGGUUACCAUGGUGAACAGCAAGAAGACGACUGAGGAGAGAGAGACGGACUGUGAAAAAAAUGCAGAUGAAGUGAGACAGACAACUGAAGGUGCAGAGAUCCGUCUGUCUUUCUCCUUCAAAACACAAGCAGAAACACAGACGAGUCUCCGCAGUCAGACAGGCAUUGUUUGUCUCUGGGCGUCUCGCUGUCACACCACAUGUAGACAGUCCAGAAGGUUCAAGGCCCCGAUGCUACCAGUCAUUGCUGAGAUGUAGGCUAGCUGCCAUUUGUUCCAUAUAGGACAAUGAAUCAAAGGACAGGCACAUGUAAAACACCUGUUUGUGCUUCUUCUUGGUUAUGAUGAGAGUACUAGAGUCUAUUUAGACUUUAAUUACACUUUGUGUUAAAUGGAGAACUUGGCUGAAUUGAAUACUCUUGUGGUAAUUAUGUGAUUAAAUGGACAUGUGGAUUUAUGUGUAUGUGUGAAUAAUGCGUCAAUGCCGUUUAUGCUUGUUUAUUAAAAUGCAGCUAUGUAACUG